CGUCGAUGUGGUCAGCGGCGGCGCCGGCCGUGUUCCCGCCGCGGCGGUGGGGCUGUCGGUGCUGUUCGUGGUGGCGGUGGCCGC
rnacentral:tRNA from 1 species